rnacentral:rRNA from 1 species
CAAGUUAUCAGUUGAAUGGCUUGUUUUAAUUCUCUGCAACAACAUAGGUGCAGAGGAGGUUUCCAUUCUUUUGUUUGAUAUAUAGGUGCUAAAAGGCGAGUAGUGAGUCAGUGGCAGGGUGGUUAGGGUGGGUCUAUCUAGGUAUAUAAGUAUGUUGUCAGUCUGCUUCUUUUUGUAUUAUCCUGAUCCCGUGUUUAAAUGAAUCAACUCAAAUUUGUAUUUAUGCUCUAUGUGUGAUUGGGCAUGAGCCCAACCCAUAAUGUAUACUUGAACAAUUAGGCAUUCUUGAUGACACCCUAUUUUUUACUUUGGUAUGUAUUUUCUUUGUUGUUAGAACUAUUGUUUUUCCUAUGCCUGGUUGCUAUUCAGAGUUGUUAGAACUUUUUUUGAUCCUUGCUGCUUGCUGAUAUUGUGGUAUCUCUAGCCUGAUUUUAGUGCGCUAGCGACAAUUAGCACUGCUAAACUUGAAACCAAAAUGAAGCUAUGAGUUACCCCAUAAGUUGUGUAGAAAACGAGAUUCAUCUUCAAAUCAAGUCAUGUUUAUUCUUAUUGUUUCAAGGAACAUCCUGCUAUUGUUUUUACCUCCUGAAUUGUCAAGUAUUAAAAUGUAAAAAUAUAAAAAUUCACUGAAUUAAGAACUUCCAUAUCAUUUUCUAUUUUACCAGUUUGGAAUCCAUUGAUCACCGAUUGUGUGUACGUUCUGAUCCAAGAAGCAAAUUUUACUGUUCAAUCCUUUUGUUGAGGCUUGCAGAAAAACAGGUUAAUCUAUCUUUUGUUCACAUGCCUUGCUACCUAAUUUUACAUGAGCUUGCUUCACGGAUGUACAUAUUUUUCUUUAUCCUGUAAUGUUGACAGGCUCAUUUUUCUGGUAGUGAAGAAAUGAGAGGAAGUGGAAGGAUAUAAGGUAGCUUCUGCAGAAUCCAAUAUACUUGGAGUCCACAUCCAAGAUCAAAGCAUCUAGCUCUGUUCACUCAGGUUCUCAGGAGUAUCUCACAAAUGAGUCAUCAUAGAGAAGAAGACAAUUCCACAGAAGCAAAGCCAGUGCAUUGGUAGGGGGCUAAAUUAGCAGGCAUGCUACCUAUACUAAAUACAU